rnacentral:rRNA from 1 species
AAAUUGAAGAGUUUGAUCAUGGCUCAGAUUGAACGCUGGUGGCAGGCCUAACACAUGCAAGUCGAACGGUAACAGGAAGCAGCUUGCUGCUUUGCUGACGAGUGGCGGACGGGUGAGUAAUGUCUGGGAAACUGCCUGAUGGCGGGGGAUAACUACUGGAAACGGUGGCUAAUACCGCAUAAUGUCGCAAGACCAAAGAGGGGGACCUUCGGGCCUCUUGCCAUCAGAUGUGCCCAGAUGGGAUUAGCUUGUUGGUGAGGUAACGGCUCACCAAGGCGACGAUCCCUAGCUGGUCUGAGAGGAUGACCAGCCACACUGGAACUGAGACACGGUCCAGACUCCUACGGGAGGCAGCAGUGGGGAAUAUUGCACAAUGGGCGCAAGCCUGAUGCAGCCAUGCCGCGUGUAUGAAGAAGGCCUUCGGGUUGUAAAGUACUUUCAGCGGGGAGGAAGGUGUUG